rnacentral:tRNA from 8 species
GCGACACUAGCUCAGUUGGUAGAGCGCAACCUUGCCAAGGUUGAGGUCACGAGUUCGAACCUCGUGUG